AGUUGAGGCCUUUUACAUGCAAGCAUUAAGUCGGACCAAACUGAACACCUGGUAUCAGGCUUGGAAAUUCAAGUUCAACGACACCGAGCCAGCCGUGUGGAGAAGGAUGACGUAGGCAGGGGCAGGCUGUUUUAGACAAGACGGUCUACACCUGUCUUGCUGGGUGCCUUUAAGAAUAAAAUGAAACAGAGUCUGUCCCCAGGAAAAUGUACACCCAGGCAAACGUCUGCAUAUACUCAGAGGCUUCGUGGAAACCCAGCUGUCAAGAAACUCCGCGGAGGAAGAAGGUGAGCAGUCUCCACUCCCACGCAUAAAAGAUACCGCUACCGGAGAGCGAAGGGUGAGCAGCCUUCCAGCGCCAACUCGCUCCCCUCCCUGCAAGCUCCGAAAGGCCGCCUGCACUGGGCUGCCGGUUGCUAUGGAAACCUGGAAGGGCAGCUUCAGAUACAUGCGAGGGAGGAGCUAGGAUGGCGGAGGAAUAGGAUGGAGAGACCAAUUUCUCCCCCACAAAUUCAUCGAAAGAUCAUUUGAACACUGAGCAAACUCCACAAAACAACUUCUGAUCCCUAGCAGAGGACAUCAGGCACCCAGAAAAGCAGCCCAUCGUCUUCAAAAGGAGGAUUGUUGUGAGCAUCCAACAAUAACAGAUGUACUACAGAAACUGCCAAGAGAGAGAUUCGGCUAACAUAUGCCAGGCAUUCUCAGCUUUAUUUCCAUUCUCAGCUUUAUUUCCAUUUACCUAUCAUAACAGCCCUGCGAGGGACGUAGAAACUGAGGCCCAGAAAAGCAGCUGGCCCCAGGUAAGUGGCAUUGGCAGGAUUCAAAAUCUGGAUUUCGGACACCAACUUCAAUCCUCUUACACAAGUGUUGGCAAUUAUUUAUAUAAAGUGAUUACACAUUAGAGGAAUAAUACUCCUUAAGACUAAUAUUAGAAGGAAUUCCCUGCCAGUCCAGGGGCUAGAACUCCACGCUCUCACUGACAAGGGCCUGGUUUCGAUCCCCGGAUGGGGAACUAAAAUCCCAUAAACCAUGCAGGUUCAGCCAAAAAAUAAAAAUUAAAAAAAUACUAUUAGGUAUGAGGGAUAUGGGCUUCUUGUGCACACACACGUGCACAGAUCUCAGUAAUCCUAACUAGCCAAGACGGCGGGCUUCUGCUGGCACCUUGGUUUCCUCCAC